GCCAGCAUGGCAUAGUGGUUUGAGCAUUGGCCUAGGACACUGGGGACCAGGGUUCAAAUCCCAGCUCUGCCA